GACGUAGGGGGCCAGCGUUGCUCGGAAUUACUGGGCGUAAAGGGUCCGUAGGCGGUGUGGCAAGUCGGGUGUGAAAUCUCUGGGCUUAACUCAGAGGCUGCUUCCGAAACUACCGUGCUAGAGUGCGUGAGAGGCAAGUGGAAUUCCGGGUGUAGCGGUGAAAUGCGUAGAGAUCCGGAGGAACACCAGUGGCGCAGGCGGCCUUCUGGGUCGACCCUGACGCUGAGAGGCGAAAGCGUGGGGAGCGAACAGG
rnacentral:rRNA from 1 species